UGGGGCAAUGGGAUCCCAGUAACAUGGGACAAUGGGAUCCCAGUAAUGGGGCAAUGGGAUCCCAGUAACAUGGGACAAUGGGAUCCCAGUAAUGGAGCAAUGGGAUCCCAGUAAAAUGGGACAAGGGGAUCCCAGUAAUGUGGGGCACUGGGCUCUGUAUGGGAAAUUGAUACUGGGACCCCAGUGCCAUCCCAUACUGGGACCCCGGUGCCGUGGGGCAGCGGGAAAUGGGAGAGCGGCUCCGAAAGGCGUCAAUAAACGGAGGUGGACGCUGUGGGUCCGGUGCGGUUUGGCCGUGGGGCGCGUGGGGACACUGGGGACAUGGGGUCGUGGUGGGUCUCCAACUGUUGACUGGGGACAUUGGGGACACUGGGGACAUUGAGGGCAUUGGGGACAUUGGGGACACUGGGGACAUGGGGUCGUGGUGGGUCUCCAACUGUUGACUGGGGACAUUGGGGACACUGGGGACAUGGGGUCAUGGUGGGUCUCCAUCCAUUGUGUUGGGGACACUGGGACACUGGGGAC
rnacentral:lncRNA from 1 species